rnacentral:rRNA from 1 species
AUUGAACGCUGGCGGCAGGCCUAACACAUGCAAGUCGAGCGGAGCGGCGGUCGGGUGAGGCAUGCCUAGGAAGGUGCAAGGUCGUGGGGGAGAGCGUCCGGAAACGGGAGCUAAUUCUGAAUACGCUCAGAUGAGCAUAGGUCGAAUUAGCUAGUGGGUGGGGUAAGGGCCUACGAGGGCGACGAUCCGUAACUGGUAUGAGAGGAUGAUCAGUCACACUGGAACGGAGACACGGUCCAGACUCUGACGGGAGGCAGCAGUGGGGAAUAUUGGACAAUGGGCGAAAGCCUGAUGCAGACAUGCCGCGAGUGUGAAGAAGGUCUUCGGAUUGUAAAGCACUUUAAGUUGGGAGGCGUUACCAACAGAAUAAGCACCGGCUAACUUCGUGCCAGCAGCCGCGGUAAUUC